rnacentral:rRNA from 1 species
GCAGCAGCCACGGUAAUACAGAGGAUGCAAGCGUUAUCUGGAAUGAUUGGGCGUAAAGGGCUCGCAGGCGGUCUCUUAAGUCUGAUGUGAAAGCCCCCGGCUCAACCGGGGAGGGUCAUUGGAAACUGGGAAACUUGAGUGCAGAAGAGGAGAGUGGAAUUCCAUGUGUAGCGGUGAAAUGCGUAGAUAUAUGGAGGAACACCGGUGGCGAAAGCGGCUCUCUGGCUUGUAACUGACGCUGAGGCUCGAAAGCGUGGGGAGCAAACAGGAUUAGAUACCCCCGUAGUCCCUGUCUCUUAUAC